ACGCUCGACACCUACGGGAGCAGCAGUGGGGAAUAUUGCACAAUGGGGGAAACCCUGAUGCAGCGACGCCGCGUGAGUGAAGAAGUAUUUCGGUAUGUAAAGCUCUAUCAGCAGGGAAGAAAAUGACGGUACCUGAGUAAGAAGCCCCGGCUAACUACGUGCCAGCAGCCGCGGUAAUCUGAGCGGGCGUGGCGAAGGC
rnacentral:rRNA from 1 species